UACGUAGGGCGCAAGCGUUAUCCGGAAUUAUUGGGCGUAAAGAGCUCGUAGGCGGCUUGGCGCGUCUGGCGUGAAAGUCCGGGGCUCAACUCCGGAUCUGCGGUGGGUACGGGCAGACUAGAGUGAUGUAGGGGAGACUGGAAUUCCUGGUGUAGCGGUGAAAUGCGCAGAUAUCAGGAGGAACACCGAUGGCGAAGGCGAGUAGCUGGACAGCACCUGACACUGAGGCACGAAAGCGUGGGUAGCAAACAGG
rnacentral:rRNA from 1 species